AUUGAACGCUGGCGGCAGGCUUAACACAUGCAAGUCGAGCGGAGAUGAGGUGCUUGCACCUUAUCUUAGCGGCGGACGGGUGAGUAAUGCUUAGGAAUCUGCCUAUUAGUGGGGGACAACAUUCCGAAAGGAAUGCUAAUACCGCAUACGCCCUACGGGGGAAAGCAGGGGACCUUCGGACCUUGCGCUAAUAGAUGAGCCUAAGUCGGAUUGGCUAGUUGGUGGGGUAAAGGCCUCCCAAGGCGACGAUCUGUAGCGGGUCUGAGAGGAUGAUCCGCCACACUGGGACUGAGACACGGCGCAGACUCCUACGGGAGGCAGCAGUGGGGAAGAUUGGACAAUGGGCGGAAGCCUGAUCCAGCCAUGCCGCGUGUGUGAAGCAGGCCUUUUGGUUGUAAAGCACUUUAAGCGAGGAGGAGGCUACCUGGAUUAAUACUCUAGGAUAGUGGACGUUACUCGCAGAAUAAGCACCGGCUAACUCUGUGCCAGCCGCCGCGGUAAGAC
rnacentral:rRNA from 1 species